rnacentral:sRNA from 1 species
AGGUUUAAGCAUAAAAGUGUUUUUUUUUUUUUAGUUUUUAAAGUUAAGCAUAAAGUGAAUAAGGUCACUAACCAUACUGUAUACUGUAUGGUUAGUGAUAAGAUACAACAUAAUAAUACUUCUCCAAGAUACACAAGGCAUAAAAAUACUUCUCCAAGAUACACAUCUAUUGAUUGUUCAACAAGAGUCGCACGCAGAGAGUUCACAUCAUACAUACCUGGCAAAAAAAAAACUACAAAUCAUACGGCUGUAAACUGUGGCGGGUCAAUAAGGUACAACACGGCUUCUUCGGAUAGUUUUUCUACACAAACCUACAUAAAUACGGGCACUCUACGUCCAUAUUCAUAAAUACUUGGCAAAAUACCUGUGGUGGCACAAUCGGGUACAACACGGCUUCUUCGGAUAGUUUUUUUACACACCCCUACAUAAAUACGGGAAUGGAUCUCAGGGCUCCGAGAAGACUCGCAAGUAGAACCAAUACUUUGUUCUGAUACUGAUUCGGCUAUCGGAAAAUAUAGACUGUGUUCAUCGGGUAAAACAUAAUAAUACUUCUCCAAGAUACACAAGGCAUAAAAAUACUUCUCCAAGAUACACAUCUAUUGAUUGUUCAACAAGAGUCGCACGCGGAGAGUUCACAUCAUACAUACCUGGCAGAAAAAAAAAAAUACAAAUCGUACGGCUGUAAACUGUGGCGGGCAAAUGAGGUACAACACGGCUUCUUCGGAUAGUUUUUCUACACACCCUACAUAAAUACGGGCAAUCUGAGGGAUCUGAGGGCUCCGAGAAGACUCGCAAGUAGAACCACUACUUUGUUCUGACACUUAUUCGGCAAUCGGAAAAUAUAGACUGUGUUCAUCGGGUACAAGAUCUGAUGUGUGACUGGAUAAAAAUAUCAUAUUUUGUUACUAAUAAUUAUAUUACUCGUGAUUAUAUUUUGAUACUAAAGUA